CUACGGGAGGCUCCAGUGAGGAAUAUUGCACAAUGGGGGGAACCCUGAUGCAGCAACGCCGCGUGGAGGAUGACGCAUUUCGGUGUGUAAACUCCUUUUAUAUGUCAAGAAAAUGACGGUAGCAUAUGAAUAAGCACCGGCUACUCCGUGCCAGCAGCCGGGUAAUACGGAGGGUGCAAGCGUUACUCGGAAUCACUGGGCGUAAAGGAUGCGUAGGCGGGUUGGAAAGUCAGGUGUGAAAUCCUACAGCUUAACUGUAGAACUGCACUUGAAACUUCUAAUCUAGAGUAUGGGAGGGGGAGAUGGAAUUAGUGGUGUAGGGGUAAAAUCCAUAGAUAUCACUAGGAAUACCUAAAGCGAAGGCGAUCUCCUGGAACAUUACUGACGCUAAGGCGUGAAAGCGUGGGGAGCAAACAGGAUUAGAUACCCUUGUAGUC
rnacentral:rRNA from 1 species